GUUAGGGGAGGAGGGAUGGCCAUUGGCUGCCUCCCUCCUCUAGUCCUCCCCUCGCCCUCUUCACGUUGGGUGCUAGUAGUUUACCUGAUGCUCUUAGCCCUGUUGUCACCUCGCUCCCCCUUCUCUGCCGCCCUUUUCCCCUUCUGUUCCAUUUUUUUCUUUGGCGUAACCCUUCUCCCUUUGCUAUUGUGGCCACCUAACCUUUCUCCACCUUGCCACUUUCCUCCCCCGCCAUCACCAUCUGCCGCGUCUUUUGCUGGGUUGGGCUUGGCUUUGAAUCGGUUUGUCUUUACCCGAUCUACCCCACCCCCACCCCUAGUCCCAGUUUGUUUGUGUGCGCCGCCAAUUUCCUCCGUGCCCGUUUUGCCACCCACCGUCCGCUACCAGGUCUUUUCUUGCGUCCCCCCGUUAUGAGCUUCCAACGCCACCUUCCGCAUCGGUUUUCGCCCAACAUGCGAUUGGCUUUCUUCCGACUCUCGUUAUCCACAAGUCUAGACCCUUGGGUUGUGGAUGUGAAUGAUAUCUUGGCGUUCGGAUCGAGGAGGAUGAGUUUCAGCAUGGGAGUUCUUUGCUCUGGUGGCUGAGGAAUAAGCGCUACCUAUGUAUUGAAUUGUGUCUAUUUUGGUACAGAUUUGAUAUUAAACCUGAUAAAUAGUCAUGUGUUAACAGAUGCUAUUUGUUAUGGUUGAUUUUGUAUCUUUAGCUUCGGCUAUGAUUUGCUUUAGAAUUUUUUACUCUGUUUGUAAGAGCACUUGUUUGCAAUUUUUAUC